rnacentral:lncRNA from 1 species
GGAAAAUUCCCCUAGGGCUCAGGCUGUGAGAAACAUCCUGCCGGGCAAGUCCUAAGCCCAACCGCCUGAUCUCAGGAAAUUCCUCACUUAGCAACAGCUAACCACCCUGCCCACCCCACUUCACAACAAGCCCAGAUCUCUCCCACCCGGACCUAAACUUACCCAGUCUGUAAGCGGGGGCGGGCUCUGGCCUUAGUUGGUGUCCCCCUCCGCGGGUGUUUGUUCGGUAAACCUGUGUUGCUGUAGAGCCGCCUCCGUCCGUUUUUCCUCCCGUUCCUGCGCUAACAAUGACAUUAUACCAAAUGUAACUGCAUGCAUCUACAUCUUAAUUACAAUUAAGAAAUAUCUUCCUGGCCGCAUGCAGUGGCUCAUGCCUGUAAUCCCAGCACUUUGGGAGACCGAGGUGGGUGGGUCACGAGGUCAAGAGUUCAAGACCAGCCUGGCCAAGAUGGUGAAACCCUGUCUCUACUAAAAAAAAAAAAAGAAAGAAAUAUCUUUUAGCUGUUUACCUACUUCCUGGAAAAAUAGUAGCUCUCUGUAGCAUUACGGAGUUUCAGUGGAACCAAAUUUUUACCAUUAAAAACUGGCAUUAAAUUGAAA